CACAGGUAAGCUCGGGAGUGUUAAAUAAGCCAUACGCGUCAAGUUAAGGGCGAACUCAGGAAAUUUAAGGCAACUGAGCUUACCAAGAAAAACCUACUCUUUAGCGUAACAAAAAAUUCAAUUAUUUACUUUCUCUAAAUCGCAAAAAAUGUCCUACCUUUUAGAGAAAAAUGGCGAAAGGUUAAUAGAUUAUGAAAAGAAAAUGGAAAUUUUGGGGAAAAUAAUUAGGUACGAAAUGUCGUAUGUAUGUGGGUAAAAAUAAGCUAUUAUUGAAGAUUUUUGCUAUACUAAAAUUAACUUAGAGAGGAGCUUACAACUAUGGGUAAA